UUGGCCUCUUCACUGUAGACAUGGUGUUUUUUUUCUUCCUCUUUCCUCCCCCCUCUCCAACCGGCUAACAAAAGCCUUGCCCUGUCGCCGGGUUUUUUUUCUCCUCUUUCUGUUGCUUGCUCAAGCUUUCCUCUCAAAAGCACUCUUUUUCCUGUAUCAACAGUCGUUUUCUCUCACUCUUCCUAGAACUGUGGCUGUCCCCCCCUCCCCUCCCUCACUCCUGGUUUGCCUCCCCUCCUCCUCCCCGGUCAGCUUCUCUCCUCGGGCAGUGCGAGAGCGCCGGAGCUGUGCGUCUCCUCCUCCCCCAGCGGGCAGGGCUCAAGAGGAGCGCAUGGGAGCUCUCUCUCUCUCUCGCCCUCGUUUGUCUCUUCACAGGGUGAUGAGGGAGCAACGCUGUGGGCGGUAGAGGAGGUGCGUGGCAGUCCAGGAAGCUCUCAUUCUGCUGCUGCGUGCUGCUUCGCCGUCGUCCGGCUUCAUCCAAGUCUCCCUCACUCUUUUCUCAGCGUGUGUGUGUGUGUCAGAGUUGCCUUCCCCUGCCUCCUCUCUCCUCCCCUCUCAUUGAUUCCUCUUUCCGCCUGCCUUUCGUGUGGGCUCUCUGUUUUCUCUGAGCCGUUUCCUUGUAUUUCUCACUCUUUCUUGCUCUGCCGUUUCCCCUUUCGCGCCUCACCUCGUCUUCUCCACCAGCCAGGAUAAGACACAGUGUCCAGAGUCUAACAACUGGAUUCAAGCCCUCAAGAGGUCAAAGCCUCGUCACCCUGUUAGCACUGUGGGGGGAAAAAAAAAAAAAAAACGUCAAGGAGAAACUAGGAAGUUUCCAGGACAUGCAGCGCUCCUGUGUCCCAGAAGAGAUCUUGGAGGAGUGAGCCAGCUUCUCAGGGGACUACUGACACCAUGAUGCAAGGGCCAUGUGCACCGGCUGGCACAUGGUAUUGGGAGUAUGCAGAGACACAGGGCUGGCCUGGAGCCAGGUACAGAGCACAACACUACUGGGUCAGGCCUGAGCCCCAUCAGCUUUGAAAUCUUCUACUCUGCAAAAUGAGACAGGCUUCUAUAACAGUCAGCAUACUGUUUACUUAACAUGCAGCUGCACACAUUUUAAUAUGUGAGCUGUCCAGGGGAAUCAGGACUGCCAGACACAUACAAAGAAGCUAGGAAGGGGUGUGCUUUUGACGCCCUGUCUUGAAA